GAUGGUUUUUAGCUCACCUCGACGAAGUCGAGAUGAGCUUAUGCUAUACCCCCGGCGUUGGCGUCGGCGUUAGCGUCGGCUGACCAGGUUAAGGUUUUUUGAGCAGGUCCAUUCCCUAGUAGCUAUAAGUCCUACCUGAACCAAACUUGCAUGGAUGAUGCAUCUAGGGAUGUACACUACCAGACUUGCUUCGGAUGCUGGAUCUGACCUACAUUUCCCAGAUGAGUGACCAGGUUAACGUUUUUGGAGCAGGUUAACGUUUUUGGAGCAGGUCCAUUACCAAGUAACUAUAAGCCCUUCCUUGACUAAAUUUGCAUGGAUGAUGCGUCUAGGGAUGGGCACUACCAGACUUGCUUCGGAUGCUGGAUCUGACCUACAUUUUCCAGAUGAGUGACCAGGUUAAAGUUUUUGGAGCAGGUCCAUUCCCAAGUAACUAUAAGCCCUACCUGGACCAAACUUGCACGCAUGAUGCUUCUAGGAAUGGACACUCCCAGACUUGUUUCGGAUGCUGGAUCUGACCUACAUUUUCCAGAUGAGUGACCAGGUUAAAGUUUUUGGAGCAGGUCCAUUUCCAAGUAACUAUAAGCCCUUCCUGGACCAAUCUUCCAUGGAUGAUGCAUCUUGGGAUGGACACUACCAGGCAUGCUUCGGAUUCUGGAUCUGACCUACAUUUUCCAGAUGAGUGACCAGGUUAAAGUUUUUGGAGCAGGUCCAUUCCCAAGUAACUAUAAGCCCUACCUGAACCAAACUUGCAUGGAUGAUGCAUCUAGGGAUGGACACUACCAGACUUGCUUCGGAUGCUGGAUCUGACCUACAUUUUCCAGAUGAGUAACCAGGUUAAAGUAUUUAGAGCAGGUCCAUUUCCAAGUAACUAUAAGCCCUACCUGGACCAAACUUGCAUGGAUGAUGCAUCUAGGGAUUGGCACUACCAGACUUGCUUCGGAUGCUGGAUCUGACCUACAUUUUCCAGAUGAGUGACCUGGUUAACGUUUUUUUGGAGCAGGUCCAUUUCCAAGUAACUAUAAGCCCUACCUGGACCAAACUUGCAUGGAUGAUGUAUCUAGGGAUUGGCACUACCGGACUUGCUUCGGAUGCUGGAUAUGACAUAUAUUUUCCAAAUGAGUAACCAUGACAAUGUGUUUGGAGUAGCUCUAUAAUUAUUUAUAUGGCCUGUUAUGAUUUAACUUGCAUAGAUGGUGCAUUCCAGACUUGCUUUGGAUGUAGGAAAUGAAAGACAUUUUCUUGAUUAGUGAACAGGUUAAAGUUUUUGGAACAGGUCAAUUCCCAACGAACUAUAAGACCUACUUACACAGAACUUGCAUGAAUAUUGUUUUCAGGAUGCACACUAACUAUAAAGAAACUAUGAUGUGAGAUUUGCAUUACUUUUACUGAUAACAUUCGUCGA